UGUUAUCUAUUGAAUCCAAAAUAGGAAGAGGAAAGUUCAAGGGCAAGCCCACGGGUCAGUGCCACUUCUGCACUCACGAAGAGAUGGUUUUUUCGAUGGCUUUUCUGGUGCUGGUAUAUGAUCCAACAUAUUUAGUGAGCAAUAUAUGGCGGCAUGAACAAUUAGUGAGAGAGCAUUGUGUUGAAUAUGUAUAAGGGGUGAGAUGGUUGGACCUGGACACAUGGCAGCUCUUGAGGAAUGAGGUUUUCCUUUUGAUAUAAUUUGGUGAAUUGACACCUUUCACUCCUCCAAAAUUACAGGUAAAG